UACGCAGGGGGCCACCGCUGUUCGGAAUUACUGGCCGUAAAGGGCACGUAGGCGGGUUGAUAAGUCUGUCGUGAAAGCCCACGGCUCAACCGUGGAAUUGCGGGGGAUACUGCUGGUCUCGAGUCCGGAAGAGGUGAGUGGAAUUCCUAGUGUAGCGGUGAAAUUCGUAGAUAUUGGGAAGAACACCAGUGGCGAAGGCGGCUCUCUGGACCGGUACUGACGCUGAGGCGCGAAAGCUAGGGGAGAAAACGGG
rnacentral:rRNA from 1 species